rnacentral:lncRNA from 1 species
UUUGCUUCCUCCAGCGAAACAAUGUGAUCCACUGGCAAGGAGGGACACCGAUAAGGCGUCCGAGAACCCUUCCUAGAACACAGCAAGGGAUCUGAUGAUCAUUAAUAUGGAUGCCCUGCCAAUGUCAAAAGCUGAAAACUUUCUACACGCACACCUGUUGUGGACCGUCUACACUAUGUGGUGAAGUUUCAAGCCUUACUACUGCUGAGUAGUUUACAUUUCAUCUUCAGAACUGUCCUCUGAGGAAAACACUAUCCGGUUCCAAUUUUACAGAAAUGAGAGGCAUGCAUUGUGUGUUUCCCAAGUUCAAGAGUGCACACACAGGUAGCAGGAAGAACUCAGAUUGAAACCCGGGCACCCAACGCAUGGGGUGCUGCAUUUGGAACCAGGGAGCCUGACUUCCUAGCUCAUGUGCCUCGUUUCCCCCAUGGACUGAAACAUGAGAUCAGGCCCUCUCUCUUCAGUUUCCCAAGCUACCCUCACCCACACCUAUCUUGGGGAAAGAGAGAACCUCCUUCCUAUCCAAGGGUCAUGCAAUUACUUCUGAAUUCUAUCUUUUGUGCUUUACUGGGUGCUCUAGUCCAUCAGUCAUUCCAAGGAAAGACAAAUAUUUAAGUGCAGGAACAAUUAGGUCCGUUCUAAAGGCGAAGGAGCUGGAAAUAUCCAGAGACUUAAAGCAGAUGGCUAAGGUAUAUGACUACCAGGGGACCAUAUCUCACCUUUCCAAGGACAGUUCCAGUUCAUGGGCCUCGUACCUUAGCUGGAAUAAGGAUCACUUCAAUCAUUCCAUUCCCGAAAUCCCCACUCUGAGUAGGAAAUUCUGCUGUCACUAGAAAAUCCUGUUGCUAGAGUGACAGAGAUAGAAUCGGUCCCCAGAGCUGUGUGACUGGACCUCAAAACCAGGAGUCUGUUACCAUAGGCUACCCCCUAAAACUCGAAAUUAUAGAGUUGAGAAGCCAGCCAUGGCUGUCCAUUCAGCAAACAGUCAUCACCUUGUGUCUCUGGGGCACCACUACAUGCAAUGACUGAUGAAGAUUUAAA